GUCACUAGGGCAAUGCUGUGCACAAGCACCAUUCAAAUGUCAUGCUCUUGUGUUUCUGAACACUUUCUCUUCCAAAUCCUGCCAUAGGAAAGCAGCUCAUGCACAGAUAUUGUACAAGAAAUGUGUAUUGAUUGGAAAAUGCUAGUUAUUACUAGGACAUUAGCUGUGCUCAUGAUCCCUUUCAGUUUCCUGCCAAAUUGAAGAGAGGUAGACGGAUCUAAACUAGUGUAAACUUAAGAAUUAGAUUUUUGAAGCCUAUGCAUAUCAACAAAAAAAAAAAGUCAUUUUUAUUGCCACAAUUUUAUUCUAGAAUAUUUGUAUCACUUUUGUCCAUGGUCCAGUAGAGUGAGUGAGACAGACAGUAAUAAGUGAUUUUUUUCCCCUUUCCACAGAUAAAAUGUUAAAAACAAAUUGUAUAUAGGUUUAGUGUUCAACUAUUUCUGCCUAAUUAAUGUGUAUGCUGCAUGACAUUUUUCUUAUCACUUUCAUUAGAGGGAGCUUAUCAAGAUGGUUUUUGUGUAUUACCCACCAUUCAAAAGACAGCUUUUUUUUUUUUUUUUUUUAUGUAUCAUUGAUUUUAAAAGGUGAAAAUGUUUCAAUUAGUGUGAUAACCAAUGAAAUAAAUUAUUCUAAUUCUUAUAAGUGUUUGCAGUGUCUUCAACAAGUACAAAUUUAUUUUAUGUAUUUUAAUAAUAGAUAUUUUGCUGCCUUUUCAAAAUUGUUUUUAAAAAGUUACUUGAGUCCAAAUUUGAACUCCAGGUCUCUCACCACCAUGAUAAAAGCCAGAAGUGUUAGCCACUGAGCUACUAUUCAAGUACUUGUAUAAACAAUGACUAAUCCUCUCUCUCUAUGUUGUGCAGUUUCCUCUUGAUCCAAGAAUGGAACUUGAGAGAAAUCCUAUACUCUUAGCUUUGUUUUUCAUUUAGUCAUUCAAUAGUUUUAAAGCAACUGCCAAAUCAAAUAGUCUAAAUGCUUCUGUUUGAAGCUCAAAAUAAUUUCAAUAUAGAUUGGUGUGCACAUUAGAUUUUCACUCUAAGACUUAAAACUUUUUAAAAAACAAAUGGACACUGACUAGCGGUAAUUAAGAUUUAAUAUGAAU